UAGGAUUUGUCACAGCCUCGGAUCUUGCAGUAGUAGGGCUUGUCGCUGGUGUGGACGUGGGAAUGUUUCUUUCGGUCACUGCUGUUGGCAAACUUCCUGUCACAGCCAUCAAAUUCACAUUUGAAAGGCUUUUCUCCUGCAAUAAAACAUAGGAAAGGUUAACAAGUGCUUUUCAGAGACCUCUCACCUGAGAGAGAAAUCUUAGAGCAGACAUGAGGAUGCAUCUUCCCAUCCUCCUGAAGACCAACUCCCAGUCUAACUCCUAAUUCCCAUGUUCCAGGAUGCAACAGGGAAGGGAUGCUGCGGGGAUGGGCCUGGUGUCCCCUGGUCUGGAGGCUCUCCUUGGACCUGGGCUUGCGAGAGGCUGGAUGUCAACCCCGAAGUACCAUAGGGGUCGAGAUUUCCCCUUCUUUUACAUUACACUUCUUUAAACCUCGGACAAAGAUCUUUUGUUCUAGGUGAGUUUUACGGGGGAGGGGGGUCCCCCACCACACAUGUGGUCCUUCAUGGGUCAGGGGUCGCCCAGCCCAGGAGUGGCUGAGAGGCUGAAUCAAAGGUGACCUGCAACUUAAUAUCCUGUUGAUGAUCUUGUUGAAUUUAUGAGUCUGUGAUACAGAGGAUAGUGCUGAAAUCCUGUGAAAUCCUUUUUUUUUUUUUUUU